AGUCUACUGUCCAACUCAUUUCGACUUAUUUGGACUUGGAAAGAAACACUUCUCAGUCUGCAAUGAGCCAUUCCAGACACUUGUCAAGUUGGACCAACUACAAGAAGGCUUUCCUCGAUUCAUUGCAACUUCCCAGAAAUACAGCCCUGGUCACACUCUCAAAAGAAAAUGCUUUUGCAGGGUCUCUAUGUGAGUGAUUUCUGGCCACUCAGACUUCACACAGAGAGAAAAAGACCCUCAACACACUCCCCCACCCCCACCUCCACCCUCAAGAGCAAGAACUUGCAGAGCAAUGAGCCUUGCCUAAAAAAGGAAGUAGUUGCUGAAGUUGGACGGAGAACGGUCAUGCAGAAAAUAUGGCUCAAACUGUUGCACUCUGAAGAGGACAGGGAGAGUCCUCUUCAUGAAGCCAUACAGACACAAGGCUUGUUUUAAAGAUUCACAGCGUGAAGCAAAACCUCAGCUAUAAUCCCAAUACUUUCAGGAGGACAAAACUGUGACUUUGAGACCAGCCCAAACUACAAUAAUUAUGAGGCUAGCCAAGGGCUAUGUGGCAAGCUCUCAUCCAAAACAAAAACAAACAACUCAAAUAAAACUGAUUCACCGGUUGCAACAUUAGAAUUCCAAACACUUCAGCGGCACCAUAGGCCCUAAUGGGCUCUGAGCCUACAGGGUACCAUUCACUUUUCUGCUUCAAACCUCUGCAGAUGCUGUGCCUGACAAUGAUGUGAUGCUAUCCAAGGCUGUUUCCUCAGAAGAUGCUGAUUUUUAAAACCUCCCCAUUCUGUGCAUUCUCUAGGAGUUAAAGGAAGCAAGAAAAUGAAAAUCAAUCAGGCUACAGGAUGUAUCAAAAAUGCCUUUUCUCACAUCUUCCUUGCAAACAGGACUCCAGGAUAGAAAAUUCAUUCCCAUCAGAAUGAGACAGGUAACAUGUGUUUCUCAACUUGGUGGAACAACAGACAGCAUCCUGGAGAGCUGCAGUAUUUCAAUCCAGUCACUAAACCACACAUUGGACUUCCUUCGCCUCUGCCUCUCUCUGAUAGCUAUUAGCUAAAGGAUCACAUAAAAAGCAGAAGAGGCCUUGGACAGUUUGCUGUGGUUGGGACCAGAUAUCAGAAGUCUCCAUUCUGUUGGCAUCCUUGAUAGGAUGCUGAGGGACCUUCAGAGAAGGAUAAAGUCCCUGCCUUGUUUCUAGGCUUCCCUGCCUAGAACAACAUUUGGAAAGCAACAAUGACCAAAAAGGAAACAGAACCCAAGGCAAGAAGAACUGGAUGGAUAAGGACACCCAAAUGGUCCAAAUGAGUUUGAAACUCAAAUACCAGACAAGUUGUACCCAGUUCAGAGGACCCUUCCUUGCAGAGCCUUUGAAGAAAGUCUGAUCCAUAAGAGUUGGGCUAGAAGAAAGGCAUGUUUUGAAGCCGGGUUGGGGUGAGUGGAGUAGAGGAUCUCUCUAACAGCUACAAGCUGAUUCCAGAGAUAAUAAAUGAGACAGAUUAUAAGGGAAUGAGCCUGGUGAUGCCUGGGUGCCAGCCUCGCCUCCAUAAAAAGGAAAAAGCCAGAUAAAUACCAGUCACUUCUUUCCAGGUAAAAACUACACAGAGGGGGCAUAGUAAAAGUGGAGCAGACAAGAGGGACCUCAGCAAAGAAUUCUGGACAUGAUUAUUAUGACCAUAAGGCAAAAACCAGUACUAGAUCAACUGGCUGACUGGCAGUCAUGUAUUAGUUAGAGGAAAAAAAAUUAUUUCUUGGUCUUACCUCAGUAAUCUUUGACCAACAACAAAAGUAUUCUUAUCAAAACUGUCCCUGGAGACUGGAGAGAUGUUUCAGUGGUAAAGAACAGUGGUUGCUUUUCCAGAGACCCUGGGUUCAAUUCCCAGCAUCCACAUGGCAACUCAACACUCCAGUUCCAGAGGAUUGGACACCCUCAUAAAGACAUAUAUGCAGGCAAAACACCAGUGCACAUAAAAUGAAAAAUAAGGAUAAAUAAAUCAUCUUU
rnacentral:lncRNA from 1 species